CCACAUAGUUAAACUACAUAAUGCUGGGGUGCAACACUACCCACAUAGUUAAACUACAUAAUGAUGGGGUGGUCCACUACCCACAUAGUUAAACACUUCAGGACAGGUAUAUUCUUGUCCCAGACAGUUUGUAAUAGACCACUAAUACUUCAGGACAGGUGAUUCUUGUCCCAGACAGUUUGUAAUAGACCACUAAUACUUCAGGACAGGUGAUUCUUGUCCCAGACAGUUUGUAAUAGACCACUAAUACUUCAGGACAGGUGAUUCUUGUCCCAGACAGUUUGUAAUAGACCACUAAUACUUCAGGACAGGUGGAUUCUUGUCCCAGACAGUUUGUAAUAGACCACUAAUACUUCAGGACAGGUGAUUCUUGUCCCAGACAGUUUGUAAUAGACCACUAAUACUUCAGGACAGGUGGAUUCUUGUCCCAGACAGUUUGUAAUAGACCACUAAUACUUCAGGACAGGUGGAUUCUUGUCCCAGACAGUUUGUAAUAGACCACUAAUACUUCAGGACAGGUGGAUUCUUGUCCCAGACAGUUUGUAAUAGACCACUAAUACUUCAGGACAGGUGAAUUCUUGUCCCAGACAGUUUGUAAUAGACCACUAAUACUUCAGGACAGGUGAAUUCUUGUCCCAGACAGUUUGUAAUAGACCACUAAUACUUCAGGACAGGUGAAUUCUUGUCCCAGACAGUUUGUAAU